GGUGACGUGCUACCUCCAGUAACACAUCAUGCCUGCAGUACCUGCUGAAAACCCACCAAAAUGCCAGCAAGAAGAGUCAGAGGGAAUUCAGCCUCAUCCCAGUCCUAGAUGUGAAACAAGCAGGCGAGAAGACAGCCCUGCCUGUCCCAGCACAGAGCUCUAUGCACAUAUGGAGAGAACACUAAGUAAAGCCAUGAACGAGGCUUUCCCAAGCAGUACUGGUGGCUCAGUGGCUGUGCUGCUGGAAUUUUGAUGACAGUUGUCAGUGACCGUCGUGCCUGAGUGGGCCAGCUGAAGGGUAGGACAUGCUGAGGGCAUUGGCAAGGCAGCACAGAAGUGAAUUGGACCUGACUGUCCACAUGGAGUCUGGCACCAGCUCCAGCUUUCAGCCUUCCUCAGCCUCUGUCUCAGUGAAAUAAGAGAGACAUCUUGGCUCCUUUCUUCCCCAGCACGCACCAUGGUGAUGGAGAAAGUUGAAGCACUAACUCGUGCCAUGGGGAGUAAGCAGUGGUAGAAGACCAAGGGACCCAGAGCCACACAGACGCUGAUGGAUUGUGCAGGUCAAGAGAGUAAAGGAGCAGCGCUCUCCGUAUUUAAAGAUGAUGGAGGCCACCAGGAUGAAACAAGUAAGAAAGCUGACCAAAUGCUCUUGACCACCACUGUCCAGUCAGUUAGACAAAUGAAGCAUUCUCCUUGGCAUAACACAUCAUUCAACAAGUGGUUCAACCUCUUGUCAGCUUCAGCCUGCCAGAUUGCUUCUCAGUUCCUGAGGUCCAUGGUCCUCCUUCAUUGGAUGCGUUAGAAGAAAAGGUACCAAGAGUAACUGCUGAAGUCUCCAGUGCUACAGCAACGAAAGAGCAAAAUUGGGUGCCUGGAGGAAAAAUAAUUUGGUUCAACUGAGCUCUGUCUGAAAAGCAGGUUACCGUGGCUUAAUGAAUUAUCCUGAGUUUGCAGAACAACGUGUUCUCUUACCAGAAAGUUGCGAAUUGAGGAGGAACAUCACUGAUAAAAUGGAGGUCAACAACUGAACAGCAUCUUGUGGGAAAGAUUUGGAGAGACGGAGCCUGAACCAAGACCUGUGGAUUUGAAGAAAUGGACUCUGAAAGCGCCCAUGCCACGCGUCCAUGCCGUUUGAGGCAAUGCUGAGCUGCGACGGAAGAAAAAUAAGAAACCUGCACUACAAAUCCUGCAAACAACCGUUAAGCUGGGAAAGCUCACAUCCUUUUGUUUCUGGAUCUCUCCACUUAAUGCAUAAUGGGAGAAGAAGCAAGACCCUGGUGUGCGAGUCCCUGCGUGACACAGACCUGGGUUCAGACUGCUCGGCUGCCAACAGCAGAGCUCCUUUCUGCUGCAGUGACUGCCACGGCGUACGCUCAGAAGAGAUGACUGUCCCUUCAGC